UUAUACGUCAAUAAUCAUGUGAGACCAAAUUAUUAUACAUCUUUAGCCAAAGAUACACGAAAUAAUAUCGUGUAUCUACUUUAUUUUCCAUGUUCACAUGUCAUAAAUAUCUCUUAACGUCCAAACUUGACUCACUUUUUAAGAAAAUAAAAGUAUAUACUCACCAAAAAAUCUCUUAUAAAUGAGAUGGUUAGUGGUCAGUUUGUCAUUUUAAGAUGAUAAUCAAACAUAAAUGAAACACAUGAAUAAUUGUUGUGUGUUUCAUCGUUAUAAAGGUAAAAACUCUCCAAUUUGGGGAGUGCGUUAGCCUAAUACAAGAAAGUCGCCGUUCCAAAAAAAAGUAAGACAGUAACCAAAAAGACCGACCGGUUCGGUUAUCAAGUGGUAACAAAAAAAAAUCCAAAUCGGAAUAAAUUAACACGAAUAAAUCGAUAUCCGAUCCGAUGGACACCACAUGGUAUUGAUAAGCUAUUAACAUCAUGACAUGUUUAAGAGGGUGUUUGGGAUUACGUUUUGAAGUGGUUAUUUGAUUAUUGCGUUUGUAAAACAUAAAUAAUCUAAAAAAGUGUUUGGAUGAAAAAGUGAUUAUCUGCCUUGAACAAUACAAAGGUCGAAGAAAAAAAAAGAAAUAUUAUUUAUUCAAAAAAAGAAACCAAAAUGCAGUUUUGAAGAAGCAUGUAGCUACAUGUUUUUUCAAAACGCAAUUUUGAAAAAGCAAAAUCCAUUUUGCCUAAGACCAUAGGUAAUGGUUAAUGCCCACUAAGGGGCAUUUUUCACCACAUCAUCAUCAUAAUGCCCUUUUAAAAAAGUUGUAAUGGUUAAUGCCUAUUUCAUUUAUUACUUUCCAUUAUUUUUCUUCUCUUUGGGCAUUAUUAUAGAAAUGCCCCUCACUCUUCAUGCCCCUAUAUAAUGCCCAUGAGUAAUGGUGUAAGGGCAUUAUCAAAAUCUUUCAUGCCCUUAUAAAGCCCCAUUACAUAUGGUCUAAAUAAGCAAAAAAACAUAAACAAGGACCACGCUACAAGUUUCAUCAUUAAUCAAACCAAAUUCCAUAAAUAGAAUAAAGAAUAAUUGUAAUCACUAAUUCUGUGUUUAUUUCAAGUAGAUAUUUAUUUGAAUCUGCUAAGCUGCAACAUUCGAUUAUAAAAAAAAAAAAAAAAAAAUUAGGGUUUCCUGGUUCCAUGAACAACGACGCAACAAUCAAAGUGGAAACGAUAAGAUAAUAUAUAUGAGUUAAUCUAAUAAAUUAAAGCAUAAUCACACGUUGAAAUAAACUCCAAAUUCAACAAUAUUGUGACUGGAAAAUGAAAUACACGUGGGUUGAGAUAACACACCUCCGGUGACCGGAAAAUCGGUUUGAUCAUGAACAGAUUUUUAUAA
rnacentral:lncRNA from 1 species